GUAGAAAAUGGGUGAAACUGAAAGAACAGUUCUGAGUUUUCAGAUUGAAGACUGCAGAAGAGCUCAUAAUCUGCGGAGAUUCAGCUUUUUACACCGAUAAUUGACAAUGGACCAUCGCCAGGUAGUGGUCAUCUCCCCAGAGGUUAGUUGUCACCUUACUCUGCCACUCAAGACUCUAGUUAAAAGUCCAAAGUCUAGAGAGAAGUUUUAGGUGUUUAUUCUGUAAAUGUCUGUACAUAUGUGUUG